rnacentral:lncRNA from 1 species
UAUACGCAUGCACUGCAACAAUUUAUAAAACACUACAAAUAAACCUAAGAUUGUACAACAUAGCACAGGGCUGUGUCUACAAUAGUGAGACAAUAUCCUUGAUCACCUGGGACCACAAUGUUUCAAUACGUCCUACUGAAUCAUGAGAUUACCCGUACUACAUUCGAUAUAAGAAUAUCAAGUAAGGGAACGGAUAGAAAACAAGACUGAUUACUGUGUUCUAUAUGUG